CUGGUCGAGUCGGCCUGCGCGGAAGAUGUAACGGGGCUAAACCAUGCACCGAAGCUGCGGCAGCGACGCUGAUGCGUUGUUGGGUAGGGGAGCGUUCUGUAAGCCUGUGAAGGUGGCCUGUGAGGGUUGCUGGAGGUAUCAGAAGUGCGAAUGCUGACAUAAGUAACGAUAAAGCGGGUGAAAAGCCCGCUCGCCGGAAGACCAAGGGUUCCUGUCCAACGUUAAUCGGGGCAGGGUGAGUCGACCCCUAAGGCGAGGCCGAAAGGCGUAGUCGAUGGGAAACGGGUUAAUAUUCCCGUACUUGGUGUUACUGCGAAGGGGGGACGGAGAAGGCUAUGUUGGCCGGGCGACGGUUGUCCCGGUUUAAGCGUGUAGGUGUGUGUUCCAGGUAAAUCCGGUUCACUUUAACACUGAGGCGUGAUGACGAGGCACUACGGUGCUGAAGCAACAAAUGCCCUGCUUCCAGGAAAAGCCUCUAAGCAUCAGGUAACAUCAAAUCGUACCCCAAACCGACACAGGUGGUCAGGUAGAGAAUACCAAGGCGCUUGAGAGAACUCGGGUGAAGGAACUAGGCAAAAUGGUGCCGUAACUUCGGGAGAAGGCACGCUGACACGUAGGUGAAGUGAUUUACUCAUGGAGCUGAAGUCAGUCGAAGAUACCAGCUGGCUGCAACUGUUUAUUAAAAACACAGCACUGUGCAAACACGAAAGUGGACGUAUACGGUGUGACGCCUGCCCGGUGCCGGAAGGUUAAUUGAUGGGGUCAGCGCAAGCGAAGCUCCUGAUCGAAGCCCCGGUAAACGGCGGCCGUAACUAUAACGGUCCUAAGGUAGCGAAAUUCCUUGUCGGGUAAGUUCCGACCUGCACGAAUGGCGUAAUGAUGGCCAGGCUGUCUCCACCCGAGACUCAGUGAAAUUGAACUCGCUGUGAAGAUGCAGUGUACCCGCGGCAAGACGGAAAGACCCCGUGAACCUUUACUAUAGCUUGACACUGAACAUUGAGCCUUGAUGUGUAGGAUAGGUGGGAGGCUUUGAAGUGUGGACGCCAGUCUGCAUGGAGCCGGCCUUGAAAUACCACCCUUUAAUGUUUGAUGUUCUAACGUGGACCCGUGAUCCGGGUUGCGGACAGUGUCUGGUGGGUAGUUUGACUGGGGCGGUCUCCUCCUAAAGAGUAACGGAGGAGCACGAAGGUUGGCUAAUCCUGGUCGGACAUCAGGAGGUUAGUGCAAUGGCAUAAGCCAGCUUGACUGCGAGCGUGACGGCGCGAGCAGGUGCGAAAGCAGGUCAUAGUGAUCCGGUGGUUCUGAAUGGAAGGGCCAUCGCUCAACGGAUAAAAGGUACUCCGGGGAUAACAGGCUGAUACCGCCCAAGAGUUCAUAUCGACGGCGGUGUUUGGCACCUCGAUGUCGGCUCAUCACAUCCUGGGGCUGAAGUAGGUCCCAAGGGUAUGGCUGUUCGCCAUUUAAAGUGGUACGCGAGCUGGGUUUAGAACGUCGUGAGACAGUUCGGUCCCUAUCUGCCGUGGGCGCUGGAGAACUGAGGGGGGCUGCUCCUAGUACGAGAGGACCGGAGUGGACGCAUCACUGGUGUUCGGGUUGUCAUGCCAAUGGCACUGCCCGGUAGCUAAAUGCGGAAGAGAUAAGUGCUGAAAGCAUCUAAGCACGAAACUUGCCCCGAGAUGAGUUCUCCCUGAGACUUUAGGUCUCCUGAAGGAACGUUGAAGACGACGACGUUGAUAGGCCGGGUGUGUAAGCGCAGCGAUGCGUUGAGCUAACCGGUACUAAUGAACCGUGAGGCUUAACCUUACAACGCCGAAG
rnacentral:rRNA from 1 species